UACGUAGGGGGCAAGCGUUGUCCGGAUUUAUUGGGCGUAAAGAGCGUGUAGGCGGCCAUACAGGUCCGUUGUGAAAACUCGAGGCUCAACCUCGAGCUGUCGGUGGAAACUGUCUGGCUAGAGUCCGGAAGAGGAGAGUGGAAUUCCUGGUGUAGCGGUGAAAUGCGCAGAUAUCAGGAAGAACACCUAUGGCGAAGGCAGCUCUCUGGGACGGUACUGACGCUGAGACGCGAAAAGCGUGGGGGAGCGAACAGG
rnacentral:rRNA from 1 species